ACCCAGUAUAUUUUGUGUAAGAUUUUUUGUAAAUUAAGCUUCAGAUAAAUAUGUGGAUAGAGUAACAGUAAAAAAAUAAUUUGGAGAGAACGAUUAAAGAGCUAGUUAGUUAGUAGUUGGUUGGUUAGUUAGUUACAAUGUAGUUAAUUAGUUAUGUAGCAGAUAAUAAUGUGUAUAUCGAGUUUAAAGACCAGUUAUUAGAUACUGCGGAAUGCUUCUAACAUAUUUAUUGAAUUUUCUUCAAACUGUUUGGAGUUUAACUGCUUGUCACAUGACAACCAAUUGAUAUGACAGAUAUAACUAGAAAUGCAAAGGAUAUACCUAAAAUAUUCCGCAAUAUUUUGUAAAAUAAAAAUGAUUUUAUGACAAAACCACUUACAUACUAAGAAAACUUACAAACUUUUAAAUGUUCUUUUUUACCGAUGCGUGAACACUGUUUAUUAAGCUAGCUUAGCAAUAUCUGACUUGUUAUGUAACCAAAUCGGAAAGUGCAUGAAUUGAUGAUGUUUUUAUUUCAAAAUACAUGUUUUGAAAUUAGAAAGAACCAAAUUGACUGAAAUCUGCACACUUAACGCCAACCACCGGAACUUAUAAUUUGAAUAUAAAAAAGAUUUCUGCACAAAAUACAACUUAUCUUUGACUAUUUCAGAGGCGAACGUUCGUACAAAAUAAAGGAUACAUGAUCUGUGAAUAUUGAAUUUCUGCAAAUAUAUAUCAUGGAGGAACAGUUGAGUUUUCGAUUACACAUUUUGUUUGUACCUUUGGUCGUGGCAUUUAAAGAUAUCGACAUGGAAAGGGAAUUGAAACUUUCCCGACGGUUAAUUUGCAAACGACAUGGUCUAUCGACAGUAGCUUCCGAGAAAGAGAAAAGUUCUAGGACAGAUUGUUGAUCAGAACUCGUUUUUCAAACUGUACAAUCGAAAUGUCGUGAAUAAUUGAAAGUGUGUUAAAUGCAAACAAGGCUUUUAAAAUACCUGCAGAAAAACAACUUGAUAGUAUUUGUCUUUUUCAAAUUAAGGAAAACGUGGAUGACUUUUAUUUGUAUCUAGAAAUUUGUUUUGCUAGUAUGAUUCUUUCUUCAAAAAAUGAUAAUUUUGUACAUUUAUUUUCAAUCGUUUCACCUGUUUUGUCAUGACAUGAUGUCUCCUGGUGAGCUGAUACCUCUUGUAUAUUACAUGUUUUCACAAGAUUAUUUUAAACCGGAUCCUAAUACAUGUAUAUACCUUGAUGUAAAAGAAAAUGGUGAGAUUUUUAUCUUAAUUAGUUUAUGAAUUAUAUUUAUAACUUCGAGAACAUCUAAAUGGUUUCUAUAAAAAUAAAGUCAACAACCGAGGAUAUCCAAAUGUUUACUAUAACAAAUUUUGAAAAUUUCAAAAUGAUUUAUUGGAAUCAACUUUGCAUUUUGAAGUCUAGAAACUGAAACAAUCUGUAAUCUAAAAAAUAAAAAAACAUGUAUGUUAAAAUAUAUUUAAGAAUGUAUUUUUUGUUAAAAAUGUGUGUAUUGACUAUAUUCUUAAAGAUACACUAUGCUCAUCUUUGUGUAAAAUAUUUUUAUCUUAGAAAUGUAUUGAAAUCAAUGAAAUUCUUCCUGAAUAUGUUUAAUUUGAAUUAAAUAAUGAAGAAACUAUGUAUGGGAAGCAGCAUUCCUUAUUACGGGUUAAUUAAAGUUGGUAUUUUCUUAAAAAAAAACUGCCAUUUUUUUUAAUGACACUAUAUAUUUAUAUUGUGACCACCUGUAGUAUGUAGAGUUCAAAACAUAACAUAUCUACUUUAAAUUAAGCCGGACCCUGUUUAUUUUAUACAUACAAAGUGACUUUGUAGCAAUUAUCAAUAUUUUUAAAAAUCAAAUUUGAGCAUAGUAUAUCUUUAAGUGUAUGAGAGCAUCUGCAUUAAAGAUAAUAUUCACGCUAUAAAAUGUAUAACUUCAUAUCCUGCUGUGUGUAUGUUUACUAUCCAUGCUUUAAUAAUUUUAUAGACUGCUAUUUUUAUCAUUUAUUUACAGGACUGUUGUGUUGUUUUGUUUAGUAAAGGCCGUUGCCAAUACCACCUAUGUGUUCAAUCUAUAAUUGUUCAAUUGUUCAAACCUUAUUUCAUGUGAGAUAUGUAUAUAAGAUAUGAAUAUAUAUAUAUAUUAAACUGCAUAAUUUUA